UGGGAAUCUUCAGAGAAAACAGAAAUCU
rnacentral:piRNA from 1 species